GACGAACGCUGGCGGCGUGCCUAAUACAUGCAAGUAGAACGCUGAAGAGAGGAGCUUGCUCUUCUUGGAUGAGUUGCGAACGGGUGAGUAACGCGUAGGUAACCUGCCUGGUAGCGGGGGAUAACUAUUGGAAACGAUAGCUAAUACCGCAUGACAUUGAUUGAUCGCAUGAUAAUUGAUUGAAAGAUGCAAUUGCAUCACUACCAGAUGGACCUGCGUUGUAUUAGCUAGUUGGUGAGGUAACGGCUCACCAAGGCGACGAUACAUAGCCGACCUGAGAGGGUGAUCGGCCACACUGGGACUGAGACACGGCCCAGACUCCUACGGGAGGCAGCAGUAGGGAAUCUUCGGCAAUGGGGGGAACCCUGACCGAGCAACGCCGCGUGAGUGAAGAAG
rnacentral:rRNA from 1 species